rnacentral:lncRNA from 1 species
ACGAUCUUUUAAAAAUGUAAAAACCAUUCUAAGCUCCAGAGCCAGUCCCUGGUAUAAACUAUAAGCAAAGAGAAAAUGCGCUGGUUUACUAUCUUACCAAUCAAACAUGCUGGAUACAAUUUAAAAUUCAUUAAUGUGGAGUUUCCGUCCUGGUGCAGCAGAAAGGAAUCCGACUAGGAACCAUGAUGUUGUGGCUUUAACCCCUGGCCUCGCUCAGAGGGCUAAGGAUCUGGUGUUGCCAUAAGCUGUGGUAUAGGUCGCAGAGGCAGUUUGGAUCUGACAUUGCUGUGGCUGUAGUGUGGCCAGCAACUGUAGCUCCAAUUCAACCCGUAGCCUGGGAACUUCCAUAUGUCACAGGUAUGGCCCUAAAAAGCCAAAAAACGAAAAGAGAAACUACACUUUGCAGAGCUAGCUGAAAUCUUGUUGAAUACCAGACCCUAUAUAACACAUACAUACACACACACACCUCUUCCUGUACUAAUCCCUCGGUGUUAGUGAGAAUGGUCUAGGCUACACUGUGAAUAAACUCCCAAAUCUCAGGGACUUAAUACAAAAAGGUCUUUCUUGCUCAAGUUCCCUGUUCAAUGUGGGCCAAUGAGGGCUCGACUCCACAGAGUCAUUCUGGGACUCAGCCUAAUGGAGAUCACACCACCUGGAACACAUAGCCCCCAAGGUCACCAUGACAGCACAAGGGAAGGCAUGCAAGUAGCACACCUGUUAUUAGAUGUCUUGACAAGGAAAUGACACCCAUUACUUCGAUUGCCAUUUCAUUGGUCAAAACUAAUUAUAUAAUACCUCCAAACUGCAAGGCAGCCAGGAGCUGUGAUCUUCCAGCGCAACUUAGAAGAGUAAAAACUAGGAGUUGAAUGGAAAAAGCUGAAGCAGAUACAGGAUGCCAGAAACCACCUCACCAAGGCUGGGUGUGCCUCACUGAUCCCAGUUACCCAUUAUGCAGUAGGACUGCUGAGGUACAGUAUACAGACUACUCAGGCAUAAAUAAAUCCCCAUUUGCCACCUUCAAAAUCUCUAGGCUAGUAAAGCCAGGUUGUAAGCAGAAAUGAACAAGGGCCAUUUGUCUGUUGUUUCUGGGGUCAUGUUGUAGGGCGGUUCCAAGACUAACCAAAUUUUAGACGUAUCCAAAGCAAUAAAACCUUCAUACGACACCAUCAAGAGCAAAUAUGCACUGAAAUCCACCUCUGAGAAUAGGAUGAGAAAAUAGUAACUGAUCAUUUGGACAAAAAGAGGCUGAGCAUCCUCCUCUGGGCCUCCAUCCCUCUCCUAUAUACCCUCUGUCCUCUCUGAAGUCACCAUACAUAAAAUCAACCUUUCCUUGGUAUACACACAAUGCCACACCCAGUACUUUAUACUGAGUAAGAUGCUCAAUAAACACUUCAUUUGAAUGAAACGCUGAAGGGAUUGAAUCCGUAAGAGUAGAGUUGAAUCCUGUGACAGCACUGCCUCUUUCACAGCCACAUGUGGGAGCAGAAAGGCUGGGACAGAAAGAGCUGCACGUUUCCCAGAAGAAUCAGAGAAGGUCUGCGGAGUGGGUAGUCAAGUUGGACUUUGGCUCACAAUGCCCCAAGGACACUGACAAAUAGCCCAAUAAUAACCCAUCUGAGUCUCAGAAGUCACUCCUUAGAGCUGCUCUAUAAAAGCCAAAAGGAAUUAUUCAUUAGCAAGUGUGAAUAACACGAGAUGCCACCAGCAGAUUGUGUUUGGCCUUGCUGAAUUAUUCAUUAGCAUUUGUGAGAAACGUACAAUCCAAAGAGUGUUAAACCAAUCCAGAUUGCUCAGCAGUGUUUGUUUUCCUUUAAAAACAUUUAAAAAGAAGGAAAAAAAAACAAAAAAAAAACCACCUCCAAGCUACAGUUCUUAUACUGGAGACCGGUUAUCAAUCUGGCUAAACAAGUAGGUGAGGAGUAGAAAGUUGAGUAAGAAAGGGAUCUCUGCGAUCUUAUUUAAUAUUCAUCAUUAUAAUGACAGGCGGUAGACUGAACCAAUGUUUGUUUACCUGUCCACAUCCUGCCUUUUUAGAUGUUGUAUGGUCAAAGACAGGAGGAGCUCUACAAUGAGAUUCAGAUGCGGAGGGGGAACAAACUCCUUUGAGUCCUGUCACAGAGCGGAUGCAAAUUUAAUUACUGCGCGUUAAGCUUGCCAUCUUGUCUAGGUGUCCUUGGAAAGCAACUGUAAACAAGAAGCACUCAGCAAUCAGGUGUCAGGGGCUCAUUUGAUCUGCUUGGAAAGAUGUCACAAAUCCCUGGCAGGAAGUGAGUCGGGAAGGGGAACAAAGAGAGAGGGCUGACAGUGUUGGAGGCAGAUCUUGGGGGAGCAUCUGUUAGUGCCGGGGACCGCUCCCACUCCCAGCUCCAACUUCCCGGAGAAAGUGCUCCCUGCCUGACAAGGCUCUCUCAUCUCACAUUUGUUAUACAUUUUCCUGUGGUCUGCAGAAAUCACCAGCACAACUCGGGAGUCAACUGCAGCCUACACGCAAUUAAAUUAUUUGAGACUCAAGGAAACCUUAGCAUGAGCUGAUUUUUCUUUUUUAAAGACAAUUGCAGAAAUCUGGAAAUUAGUACAGAAUCUAAACUCAGGUAAAAGAAAUCCUAAUUACCCAGGAGUCUCAAAGAAAACCCUAGGCCUAGCUGCACUCCCAUCUUUUCAGCAUGCCCCUAAUUGAAUAGGAAGAAUGGUCCAGCCUAUGAAGCUCCAGGUCUGAACCUGAGCUGUCAAACACCCCACUGUUUCUAUGAUAAUGGGUGCUGCCUUUGUAGGCAAUUGCAAGGAAGUGAUCCCUGAGUGCACUCGAUGGGUAAUUCUGCAAAGAGCCUGUAGCCUACCUGAAGGGAGCCCACAUUCAGAGCACGAUGCUCACCUUCUCAAGACAACUGCAGAAAAUGGCUUUCUGCGCUCACAACCGAACCAUGCUUCCAGAAGUGCUUGUGGAUGAAUUAUUUUAUAGGAAUUUUAAAUUCUAGUGCUAAGUCAAACUCUCCCCACUGCUAUAAUGAAGUAACAACUUACAGAUGGAAGGCCAAAAAAAAAAAAAACAAACAAACAAAAAAAACCAAACCAACCAUAACCAAGCCCUAUUAAAGUUGGAGUAAAUUAACCAAUCUCUCUAAGUGUCAAUGGUCUCAUCUGCAAAAUCAGGGGGAAAGCACAACCAUGGAGGGAGGACAGAUAAUACAUGUAAGUUACAGCCAGUUUUAUUAAAGAAUAGGGAAAUUAAUAUUAAUACUACAAUUAUUAUUUGCCUAGUAAUACAAGUAGUCCCCUGAUACUAACAUUU